ACGCUGGCGGCACGCUUAACACAUGCAAGUCGAACGGAGUUUAUUGGAGCUUGCUUUGAUAAACUUAGUGGCGGACGGGUGAGUAACACGUGAGCAAUCUGCCCUUAAGAGGGGGAUAGCAGUUGGAAACGACUGAUAAUACCGCAUAAGAUAGUAGUACCGCAUGGUACAGCUAUAAAAGAUUUAUCGCUUAAGGAUGAGCUCGCGUCUGAUUAGCUAGUUGGUGAGGUAACGGCUCACCAAGGCAACGAUCAGUAGCCGGACUGAGAGGUUGGACGGCCACAUUGGGACUGAGACACGGCCCAGACUCCUACGGGAGGCAGCAGUGGGGAAUAUUGCACAAUGGAGGAAACUCUGAUGCAGCGAUGCCGCGUGAGGGAAGAAGGUUUUAGGAUUGUAAACCUCUGUUGACAGGGACGAUAAUGACGGUACCUGUUGAGGAAGCUCCGGCUAACUACGUGCCAGCCGCCGC
rnacentral:rRNA from 1 species